UACGGGGGGGGCAAGCGUUGUUCGGAAUUACUGGGCGUAAAGGGCUCGUAGGCGGCCAACUAAGUCAAACGUGAAAUCCCCCGGCUUAACCAGGGAACUGCGUCUGAUACUGGAUGGCUUGAGAUUGGGAGAGGGAUGCGGAAUUCCAGGUGUAGCGGUGAAAUGCGUAGAUAUCUGGAGGAACACCGGUGGCGAAGGCGGCAUCCUGGACCAACACUGACGCUGAUGAGCGAAAGCCAGGGGAGCAAACGGG
rnacentral:rRNA from 1 species